CUGUACACACAUCUGACCUCUAGGAGUCAUCCACACAAGCCCAUGAAUCACGAUCAAAAGUCCUGAUCCAGGAAAUCAGCACAGUAUGCUAGUACUGCACUAAUCUUUCUUUAAUGGUCGAUCAGAUGCCUCCUUCUUCUUGAUUUAGACUCUUUCAAUGAUGAGAAGUAGGAGAAGGAGUUUUAGAUAAGAAACUUUUAAAAAACUUAUAGA
rnacentral:lncRNA from 1 species